CACACCGCCCGUCACACCACGAAGUCGGCAACACCUGAAGCCGCUGAGCUAACCUUUCGAGGAAGCAGGUGUCGAGGGUGAGGUCGGUGAUUGGGGUG
rnacentral:rRNA from 1 species